UAGGGAAUCUUCGGCAAUGGACGAAAGUCUGACCGAGCAACGCCGCGUGAGUGAAGAAGGUUUUCGGAUCGUAAAACUCUGUUGUUAGAGAAGAACAAGGACGUUAGUAACUGAACGUCCCCUGACGGUAUCUAACCAGAAAGCCACGGCUAACUACGUGCCAGCAGCCGCGGUAAUACGUAGGUGGCAAGCGUUGUCCGGAUUUAUUGGGCGUAAAGCGAGCGCAGGCGGUUUCUUAAGUCUGAUGUGAAAGCCCCCGGCUCAACCGGGGAGGGUCAUUGGAAACUGGGAGACUUGAGUGCAGAAGAGGAGAGUGGAAUUCCAUGUGGAGCGGUGAAAUGCGUAGAUAUAUGGAGGAACACCAGUGGCGAAGGCGGCUCUCUGGUCUGGAACUGACGGUGAGGCUGGAAAGCGUGGGAAGAAAACAGG
rnacentral:rRNA from 1 species